GCUGUACAGCCACAUCUCUCCCACCUCCCCAGAUGCAAUUGCAGGAGUUCAGCUCUAAGCAGUUGGGGUGGCUGUGUGAGACCAGGGAGCUGGAACUGCCAUUCUAUACAGCAGGAUAGUCUCUCAGGCAGCAUCAAUUAUAAUGCACUUUACCUGGGUAGUGCCCGCCUGAAGAGUGGCAGUAGCUCUGACUCCACGGCUGUUCCACACAACAUACAGGUCCGUGUUAGGUUUCCUAGCAGAGCUAACCAUGCACCUUCAGACUAGAAUUUGUUUAGAUUAAGCGGGGGAAGAAGAGGAGGGAUACAAAGUCCCUAAAAGACAGCAGUUGUAUUUCUCCAACACUCUGCAGAAACACUGCUGAUAAAAUGGCCGCAUGCUGUCUGCAGAUGGGCAAUGGACCAUGAACCAGCCACUGGCAGCACAGGGUAAGAUAAUAUCAUGCUGCUGCUGAGACUGCUGCUAAAGUGCUUCUUUUAGGGGACAUAGGUGGGGCAAGAUGGGCCAGAACCAGCUGUGUAGUUCUGCCUCCAUCAGUCGCAGGUUGCCUUGGCCUCUAGCUGUUCUGCUCUGCUGUCAUCCACCCCUACAGCGGAGGCCCAGGAGCUGUGGACUGCCCACGGUUGCCUUUGCCUCUCUCCAGAGUGGUGAGAAUUAUGAGAUUUUGUAUAAAUCUGGCUCUAGAAUUCUAUAAUCUCCUCGGACACUGUCCUGACGCUUUCUCUUGCAUCCAUGAUCUGCCAUCCCAUUCAUUCUGUGAUAGAGGGCACACCUAGCUCUCUGGUUCUGCUAUGACUCUUUCAUAAGGCGAUGGGCACUUAAACGUGAGAUGGGUCCAGCCUCACCUGUGGCAUGCUUAGCUCACCUCCAUGGCAAGUGGACCAGACAUACAGAAAUAACAUAAGCACAAAUCUACCAGGGACAACUCUACACAUUUGAUCAAGUCAGCACUCAGAAAGCCUAGAGCGUAAGAAGCUUCACAUCAUUAAAAUAUGGCUGAAGUCAAAGAUUGACAUUUUCAAACUUGGGUGCCUGAAGUUAGGCACCCAAAUAAGAGUACCCUGAUUUUUCCAGAAGCUACACCCUUAUAGCCCACGUUGACUUCAGUGGAAUCUGUGAGUGUACCGAAUCUUUGAAAAAAAUCAGACCACAUUUAGUUAAGUGCCUAACUACAGAUUUAAGUGCAUAUCUUUAGGCACCCGCAUUUAAAAAUUGAAGCCCACAUUUUUAAUUACUAACAGCUAGAAUUUCUGAACCUUUGACUAGAAACAGGUCCCUUAUUAUAAAGUGACAUAGGGAAAAUGGAGACAUUCUUUAAAACAAACUCUGUAUCCCAUUUUAACAUCUUAAUCAAUGAAAGGAUUAAUAUACUGUACAUUUGUGUAGUGUCUAGCACAAUGGGACCCAUACAUAUUGUUACAAUAAAAAUGUUAUUUAAGGCUUGUUUUCUACUCCACUGGUGACCCCCACAGCCAGUGCCACAAACAAUGUUCUAUAUUGCGUAAGCAAGAUGCCCACGGCCAGCCUGAGGCUCAGAAAUGUCAACUGUAAUUCGGAAUGUGACUUUCAAAUCCAUUUCAGUUUCUUAGUCUUGGUGGAGAGCUUCUGAUGUUUAUUUAACUUAAACAUUGAGAGAACAAGAAAUAUUUUAUUUUAAAUUAUGUCGGAUCUCAUGUAUGAUUCUUUUUAAAUAUGCAAGGCGUGGCAGGCUAUGAAUACCCUGUAUAAGCGAAUAAGAGAAUGGCUUCUAGCAUUAGAAGUUAAGUCUCGAAUGUAAAUAAGACUUUUCUGAAAACAUCUUACUCUCAAAAGAAAAGAACAACGGACCACAACAAAAAACAGGAAUAGUAUUUCCCAUACUCGAUUGUAUUAUUGGUACAUCAAGUUCUGUAUCUUGUGUCUGGCAUGGGCAUAUUCCUGAUGCCAUUGUCUAAAGAGCAGCUGGCCACUUGUGCAAUAUUGAAUGUGUUGGGGCAGGAAGACCUUAACAGAGCUCACCUUUUACCCUGGAGCAAGAGAUUCGAUUUCCCUUAUGUAAGCAU